GACGAACGCUGGCGGCGUGCUUAACACAUGCAAGUCGAACGGUAAGGCCCUUCGGGGUACACGAGUGGCGAACGGGUGAGUAACACGUGGGUGAUCUGCCCUGCACUUCGGGAUAAGCCUGGGAAACUGGGUCUAAUACCGGAUAGGACCACUGCCUGCAUGGGUGGUGGUGGAAAGCUUUUGCGGUGUGGGAUGGGCCCGCGGCCUAUCAGCUUGUUGGUGGGGUGAUGGCCUACCAAGGCGACGAAGGGUAGCCGGCCUGAGAGGGUGACCGGCCACACGGGGACUGAGAUACGGACCAGACUGCUACGGGAGGCAGCAGUGGGGAAUAUUGCACAAUGGGCGCAAGCCUGAUGCAGCGACGCCGCGUGAGGGAUGACGGCCUUCGGGUUGUAAACCUCUUUCAGCACCGACGAAGCGCAAGUGACGGUAGGUGCAGAAGAAGCACCGGCUAACUACGUGCCAGCCGCCGCAGUAA
rnacentral:rRNA from 1 species